rnacentral:rRNA from 1 species
GGACUACACGGGUUUCUAAUCCUGUUUGAUCCCCACGCUUUCGUGCCUCAGUGUCAAUAAUCCCGUAGUAAGCUGCCUUCGCAAUGGGUGUUCUAUGUCAUAUCUAAGCAUUUCACCGCUACAUGACAUAUUCCGCUUACCUCCAGGAUAUUCAAGAUUGAUAGUAUCAAUGGCAGUUUCCGAGUUAAGCUCGAAGAUUUCACCACUGACUUACCAACCCACCUACGCACCCUUUAAACCCAGUAAAUCCGGAUAACGCUUGCACCCUCCGUAUUACCGCGGCUGCUGGCAC